UUUUCGGAGAGUUUGAUCCUGGCUCAGAACGAACGCUGGCGGCGUGCUUCAUACAUGCAAGUCGUACGAGAAAGUUCUGCUUCGGCGGAAUUAGUAAAGUGGCGAACGGGUGCGUAACACGUGGGUAACCUGCCUCAAAGUUGGGGAUAAGCCUCCGAAAGGGGGUCUAAUACCGGAUAAAAUCUUUUUCCGACAUCGGAAAAGAAUCAAAGGUUGCCUCUAUUUAUAAGCUACCGCUUUGAGAUGGGCCCGCGGCUCAUUAGCUUGUUGGUGGGAUAAAAGCUCACCAAGGCUGCGAUGGGUAGCCGGCCUGAGAGGGUGUUCGGCCACACUGGGACUGAGAUACGGCCCAGACUCCUACGGGAGGCAGCAGUAGGGAAUAUUGCGCAAUGGGCAAAUGCCUGACGCAGCAACGCCGCGUGGGUGAUGAAGUUCUUCGGAAUGUAAAACCCUGUCAGAGGGGAAGAAACUCCCAAAGACAAAUAAUCUUUGGGACUGACGGUACCCUCAGAGGAAGCUCCGGCCAACUCCGUGCCAGCAGCCGCGGUAAUACGGGGGGAGCAAGCGUUGUUCGGAAUCACUGGGCGUAAGCGGGCAGAUAAGUCAGGCGUGAAAAUCCAAAGCUUAACUUUGGACCUGCGUUUGAAACUAUCUGCCUUGAGUACGGGAGAGGAAAGUGGAAUUCCUGGUGUAGCGGUGAAAUGCGUAGAUAUCAGGAGGAACACCGGUGGCGAAGGCGGCUUUCUAGCCCGAUACUGACGCUGAGACACGAAGGCUAGGGGAGCAAACAGGAUUAGAUACCCUGGUAGUCCUAGCGGUAAACGUUGGGCACUAGGUGUUGUCCCUUGACCGGGGCAGUGCCGCAGCUAACGCAUUAAGUGCCCCGCCUGGGGAGUACGACCGCAAGGUUGAAACUCAAAGGAAUUGACGGGGGCCCGCACAAGCGGUGGACCCGCACAAGCGGUGGAGUAUGUGGUUUAAUUCGACGCAACGCGAAGAACCUUACCUGGGUUUGACAUGCACUGGAAAACUCAAGAGAUUGAGUCCCCCAGCGAUGGGUCAGUGCACAGGUGCUGCAUGGCUGUCGUCAGCUCGUGCCGUGAGGUGUUGGGUUAAGUCCCGCAACGAGCGCAACCCCUGUCCUUAGUUGCCACCUUUCCUUUAAGGGAGGAGCACUCUAAGGAAACUGCCAGUUAUAAGCUGGAGGAAGGUGGGGAUGACGUCAAGUCCUCAUGGCCCUUAUGUCCAGGGCUACACACGUACUACAAUGGCCGGUACAGAAGGAUGCAAUACCGCGAGGCAGAGCAAAUCCCCAAAGCCGGCCUCAGUUCAGAUUGAAGUCUGCAACUCGACUUCAUGAAGGCGGAAUCGCUAGUAAUCGCGGAUCAGCAGGUCGCGGUGAAUACGUUCCCGGGCCUUGUACACACCGCCCGUCAAGCCAUGGAAGCCGGGGGUACCCGAAGUCGUUUUUCUAACCUCUCGGGGAGGAAGACGCCUAAGGUAAAACCGGUGACUGGGGCUAAGUCGUAACAAGGUAGCCGUAGCGGAAGCUGCGGCUGGAUCACCUCCUUU
rnacentral:rRNA from 1 species